UACGGAGGGUGCAAGCGUUAUCCGGAUUUACUGGGGUUAAAGGGUGCGUAGGCGGGCCCUUAAGUCAGUGGUGAAAGCUCCGAGCUUAACUCGGAAACUGCCAUUGAUACUAUAGGUCUUGAAUUCGGUCGAGGUUGGCGGAAUGUGUCGUGUAGCGGUGAAAUGCUUAGAUAUGACACAGAACACCGAUUGCGAAGGCAGCUAGCUAGACCGACAUUGACGCUGAGGCACGAAAGCGUGGGGAUCAAACAGG
rnacentral:rRNA from 1 species